rnacentral:misc_RNA from 1 species
GAUGAAGAACGCAGCGAAAUGCGAUACGUAAUGUGAAUUGCAGAUUUCAGUGAAUCAUCGAAUCUUUGAACGCACAUUGCGCCCGCUAGUAUUCUGGCGGGCAUGCCUGUUCGAGCGUCAUUUCAACCAUCAAGCCCUAGGCUUGCGUUGGAGCCCUGCGGCUGCCGCAGGCUCCCAAAUCCAGUGGCGGGCUCGUCGUCGUACCGAGUGCAGUAAACAUCCUCGCUCAGGGAACGUGACGGGUUCUUGCCGUCAAACCCCCCACAUAUCAAGGUUGACCUCGGAUCAGGUAGGAAUACCCGCUGAACUUAAGCAUAUCAAUAAGCGGAGGA